rnacentral:tRNA from 1 species
AAUCCGUCGACUUUUAAAAUCGUGAGGGUUC